UACGUAGGGUGCGAGCGUUGUCCGGAAUUACUGGGCGUAAAGAGCUCGUAGGUGGUUUGUCGCGUUGUUCGUGAAAACUCACGGCUUAACUGUGGGCGUGCGGGCGAUACGGGCAGACUGGAGUACUGCAGGGGAGACUGGAAUUCCUGGUGUAGCGGUGGAAUGCGCAGAUAUCAGGAGGAACACCGGUGGCGAAGGCGGGUCUCUGGGCAGUAACUGACGCUGAGGAGCGAAAGCAUGGGGAGCGAACAGG
rnacentral:rRNA from 1 species